rnacentral:rRNA from 1 species
GAUGAACGCUAGCGGCAGGCUUAACACAUGCAAGUCGAGGGGUAGAAGUUGCUUGCAACUUUGAGACCGGCGCACGGGUGCGUAACGCGUAUGCAAUCUACCUUAUACAGAGGGAUAGCCCAGAGAAAUUUGGAUUAAUACCUCAUAGUAUAAUUGAAUGGCAUCAUUUAAUUAUUAAAGUUCCAACGGUAUAAGAUGAGCAUGCGUCCUAUUAGCUAGAUGGUAAGGUAACGGCUUACCAUGGCAACGAUAGGUAGGGGUCCUGAGAGGGAGAUCCCCCACACUGGUACUGAGACACGGACCAGACUCCUACGGGAGGCAGCAGUGAGGAAUAUUGGACAAUGGGCGCAAGCCUGAUCCAGCCAUGCCGCGUGCAGGAAGAAGCAUCUAUGGUGUGUAAACUGCUUUUGUACGGGAAGAAACACUCCUUCGUGAAGGAGCUCGACGGUACCGUAAGAAUAAGGAUCGGCUAACUCCGUGCCAGCCGCCGCAGUAAGAC